rnacentral:lncRNA from 1 species
UUAUCAAUAUUAUUAGACCUGAUCUAAACUAUUAAUUUCAUGUCCUUAGUACUCAAUUUUCAUGAUUAUUUGAUAUAUCCCACUUUAUAAUUGAGUGGUUUCAGAACAAAUGUGUAAAAGUGAAACACCGUAUAAAAUAGAUGAUACAAUUCUUCAAUAUUAAAUUAGAGAUACUGAGGUUAAUUUUUCUCCGUAGUAAAAAGAAUUUUCUAUUAUAUCUUAGGCANCUAGUCUAUUUAUAAAUUCAUUGUUAGUUUAAUGGUAUUAAAUUAUUUCAACUUGCCUAAGAUAAAAUAGAUGAUACAAUUCUUCAAUAUUAAAUUAGAGAUACUGAGGUUAAUUUUUCUCCGUAGUAAAAAGAAUUUUCUAUUAUAUCUUAGGCAAGUU